CAGUUAUUAGAGACCAUACUGAUGUGACACCACCCAGUGACCGUUUUGUCUGUCUGACAACGAUGUCACCGCCUCUCAGUGGUGAUGAAUAUGGGAAGUUACUCACUGAAAGGUAAGUAUUGAAUGAAAAGAAUGAAAUAAACCUGUCUGAAGAUCAUUGUGAUGUUCCCCCUACAUCAAGGGCCAUCUGACAUUUUACUGUAUUCUGUGUAUUCCAUCAAUGUUUUGCUUAUUUAUUUUAUAAGUACUUGACUAGAACUAGAUAUGUGGAAAACGUUUAUAAAUGCAGGGUAAUGGAUGAGCUUGUAGACAAGCAGACUUGUUCACAGGAGACUGAAGCUCCUGCCACAGGCGAACUAUUGCAUUUUCAUUAACUUAAGUGGUUGACUAUGCUUGUCUGUACCUUAAAAGAGCUUAGCAUGUAGCAUGGCCCCCCCCUCCGCUGCUUCGCAUGCCACUCCCUCGAACGCUUGCAUCAUUUGGGAUGGUAAUGCCGGUGGUCUCUGGGGUACGUAGUAUCUCCAAGGGGAUAAAAGAAGUGUUAAAACUGAACCUCAUGCUGGCAGAAAUUAUAUAAAAAAAAAAAAUCCUAAUUUCUCCCUGAUUGUCUCAUUUGCUGUUGUAGGUCAUAAAGAGGCACCAAUAUUAAAAUGAGACCGUUUCAUAACCAGUUACAAACUCCUUGUAUAGAGGCUUUAAAAACUGUUUAAAAAUGUUCAUGUGCAUAAGUGUCCUAAAUCCCACGUUGUCUGCAGCUUUGAACAACACCAUAUUCACAUGUAUUUACACUGUCAUACACAGUGGCACUAUCAUGUUUUCAACAAGUCACCCGUAUGGACACUUUAUGUACAGAUGUGUGUAAUUACAAUAAGAUUCAAGAGUUUAUUGUCAUGUGCACACCAAUCACAUUUAGCAGUCGCAAAAAAUAAGAAUAAAAAUAAAUAUAGAAUAGAAUAUCAGAUUGGAGGAGUUUAAAAGUCUUAUGGCCUGGGGGAUGAAACUGGCUCUGAGCCUGGUGGUGCGGGCCCGGAUGCUGCAGUAUCGUCGGCCAGAUGGCAGCAGGCAGAACAGUUUAUGGCUGGGGUGAUAGUGGUCUUGAAUAAUCAUUAGGUACAGGAUGUUGGCAAAUUAAGUGUUUCUCUCGGUCACAAACACUGACUUCAGAGUCAUUGACACUUCUCACCACCGGUUUCUUAUGUCUGAUCCGUAGACCGUGUUUAAUAAGUGGAUGUAGCUUCCAGCUCCAAAAGAUGAAGCCUAUGCGUAAGUGCUGAAAAGUGUAAUACAAAGGAUAUCCGGCAGGGGCUGGCCCCAAAAGAAUACAUUUCAAUACAUUUUUCCCAUAAGUAUUUAUGGUCUCAUUUGCUAAAUUCACCCCUUCUUAUCAGUGGUCUGGUGGUCCAUCUGAAAAAAAUAUCGUUUAUGAUUAGAUAUUAGAGCUCAAAGUGUGGUAGUUUUGGGGUGUCCGUUUGAUUGACACACAGUCUCACGGAUGAUUGACAGACAGCAGAGCAAAACUGGAGCUUUACUUACAUUGCGUUCACUCAUUUGUUUUAUAUUUAUCAUUAUUCUUUCAUUAUUUAUUUGUCGCUGGUUGUUUUUUACACCGACAGGUUUUCUGUUAGUUCUUUCAAUUAGUUUAUGUUCACUGUGAUAAUGACACGUUCUUCGAUAACAACAGAGGAGCUGAUAAAAAGUUAGUACGGUGAGUAAACUUUUCUUAACGUUUUACAGUUUUUAUCUUCAUUUUCUACUAUCUACUAGCUAGCUAGUUAGCUGAUAGUUUUUGCAAUGCCGGGUGGACCUGUCCCCUCAGGGCUGCUAAGCUGUGUUAACUAGAUGUUAAGGUUAAAUCGAUAUAAAUGUAAAUUUAGCCAACAUUAUGAUGACGAUGUCUGUUUUGUUUCUGCCACAUGUGACUGUAUAAACGAUGAGAGCUGCAUUAUUGUGAGUUAUUAAAAGUCCAUGAGGACAUCAUUAUAGUUCUGUUUAACAUAAUGUUUAGGUAACGUCCUUUAUGCAGUUAAACAGUAGCAUUAACUUUCUGUGUUUUGUCCUAGUUCUUUUAAAUACCUACUGUGUCUCUAAGGUUAACCAUGUGAAAAAAGUUUUGUGUAGGUCUAUGAAGCUAUGUAGUGCAGCUGUCAGAUUAUACUGACUGCGUAGGAAUAAAAUCAGACAGUGAGUUUUCUACAUUAGAUCCAGGUGUAUGAUUCAUCCGGGGCUGUGGAUGUCUGAUUUCUGGGUCUUUAUAUCUACCCCAAUCUGAUUUUAUGUGCUAAUGUCUGGUGGUGAUCUACUAAUUAAUUGAUAGUUUUUCUAUUUUACUAUGCGCUCAUGCUUUUCUAUGUUUUUUAUCCGCCAUCAAUCCACCAGAAGCUGACAGGCUGAAGUAAUGGUUGAUGAUGAUGAUGUGAAACAACUGGACCUCAUCCAUCACAUCCAAUCUGUGCAGUUCACACUUUGAGGAGCAGGUCUUCACACACAAGAAGGUACUGAAUGGCUGUUGUCAGUAGAAGGAAGACCUCAUGUAUGAAGUGAUUGUGGUGCCAUUCGUCAGGAUGCUGAGGCCGGAUAACAACAUCCUUAAUUCUUUAAUGAGAUGUGCUGGUGAUGUCAGUAAACCACCUCCAGUUCAGCUUCCUCUGAUGAGAUGACAGACUAACAGAACUUUGUAUAUCAUUCUCUGUAUUCACAGGUACAGUUUAUUUGCCUUUUACUUAAUUUCUUCGGUUUUUAGAGUUGGUAGUAACAUUUUCAAAACAUACAACAUUUGAAAACUAUAUAUAUAUAUAGGCUAGGCCCAAAGUGUUU